rnacentral:rRNA from 1 species
UACGAGGGGGGCGAGCGUUUGUUCGGAAUUAUUGGGCGUAAAGGGCGCGUAGGCGGUUGGAUAAGUCUGCUGUGAAAUCCCCCGGGCUCAACCUGGGAAUGGCAGUGGAUACUGGAUCGCUAGAGUGUGAUAGAGGAUGGUGGAAUUCCCGGUGUAGCGGUGAAAUGCGUAGAGAUCGGGGAGGAACAUCUGUGGCGAAGGCGGCCACCUGGGACCAACACUGACACUGAGGCACGAAAGCGUGGGGAGCAAACAGG